AUGUGGACAUGUAUAAUUAUGCAACUGGAGGAAUGGUUGACAAAUUAUGAGCUUACAAAUCACUUGGUUUCAACUUUCAACUUGAGGUGAUGGUUUUAAAAUUUUAUGUGAGUUCUUUGAUGAUGCUUUGGGUGGGAGUUUGGUGUUUCUCCAUAACCUGCAUAGGAGGACCAAAGCUUGAAUUACAAUUAGAGCAUCAAAGGAAGGAGAUGUGGACAUGCAUGACUUAAUUGGAUUGAUAGGUGGAUGUGCAAUUCCUCAGCUACAUCUUGAAGAACUGACGGAUUAUAAAUCCUAAAUAUGCUCAAGCAUAUCAUGAUCAAGACCAAGACACAGCACUGAUUCUAGCUCACAACAGAACUGAUGGAAAGAGGUUUGAACUGUAGUGUUGAUGUUUACUUGACCUUGAUUGCAUGUUGAGGCGAAUAACAUCAGUUUCCCAGUGCAUUUGAAGUACAUUGCCCAAAUGGGUUGUGUUAGGGAUGGAGGCAUGUAUCUGAAGUAUAACCAUUUUCCUACCAAACAAACCUUGUUUGAAGACAUGACUGUUGUGUAUUAAUUACUCAUAGUAUCUCUAUGUUUGUACCAGAUAUUGAUGGAGCUUUUUACCAUCUCCCUGUUUUUAUAUUUUAU